CUGGCAAGUCUCUCGUUAAAUCCAACGGCCUAACCGUUGGACUGCGGGAGAUACUGCUAGGCUAGGGGGCGGGAGAGGCCGGCGGUAUUCCCGGGGUAGGGGUGAAAUCCUAUAAUCCCGGGAGGACCACCAGUGGCGAAGGCGGCCGGCCAGAACGCGCCCGACGGUGAGGGACGAAAGCUGGGGGAGCGAUCCGGAUUAGAUACCCGGGUAGUCCCAGCCGUAAACGAUGCGGGCUAGGUGUUGGCGCGACUACGAGUCGCGCCAGUGCCGCAGGGAAACCGUUAAGCCCGCCGCCUGGGGAGUACGGUCGCAAGACUG
rnacentral:rRNA from 1 species